GACGAACGCUGGCGGCGUGCCUAACACAUGCAAGUCGAGCGGGGAGGGCCUUCGGGUUCUUCCAGCGGCGGACGGGUGAGUAACGCGUGAGCAACCUUUCCUUCACAGGGGGAUAACGCAGCGAAAGCUGUGCUAAUACCGCAUAAGACCACAAUGUCACAUGGCAAAGGGGUCAAAGGAGCAAUCCGGUGAAGGGUGGGCUCGCGUCUGAUUAGCUAGUUGGCGGGGUAACGCCCACCAAGGUGACGAUCAGUAGCCGACCUGAGAGGGUGAUCGGCCACACUGGGACUGAGACACGGCCCAGACUCCUACGGGAGGCAGCAGUGGGGAAUAUUGGGCAAUGGGCGAAAGCCUGACCAAGCAACGCCGCGUGAGGGAAGAAGGUUUUCGGAUCGUAAACCUCUGUCCUUGGGGACGAAAGAAAUGACGGUACCCAAGGAGGAAGCCCCGGCUAACUACGUGCCAGCAGCCGCGGUAAAGUACAGUGU
rnacentral:rRNA from 1 species